CACGUAGUUAGCCGGUGCUUAUUCUACAGGUACCGUCAUCAGCUUAGGGUAUUAACCCGAGCUAUUUCUUCCCUGUCAAAAGUGCUUUACAACCCGAAGGCCUUCAUCACACACGCGGGAUGGCUGGAUCAGGGUUCCCCCCAUUGUCCAAAAUUCCCCACUGCUGCCUCCCGUAGGAGUCUGGGCCGUGUCUCAGUCCCAGUGUGGCUGGUCGUCCUCUCAAACCAGCUACGGAUCGUCGCCUUGGUAGGCCUUUACCCCACCAACUAGCUAAUCCGAUAUCGGCCGCUCCAAUAGUGAGAGGUCCCGAAGAACUCCCCCCCUUUCCCCGUAGGGCGUAUGCGGUAUUAGCCACUCUUUCGAGUAGUAUCCCCCGUACUGGGCACGUUCCGAUACAUUACUCACCCGUCCGCCACUCGCCGCCAAGAGAGCAAGCUCUCUCGCGCUGCCGUUCGACUUGCAUGUGUAAAGCAUCCCGCUAGCGUUCAAUCUGAGCCAGGAUCAAACUCU
rnacentral:rRNA from 1 species